GAUGAACGCUGGCGGCGUGCCUAAUACAUGCAAGUCGAGCGAACAGACGAGGAGCUUGCACCUUUGACAUUAGCGGCGGACGGGUGAGUAACACGUGGGUAACCUACCUAUAAGACUGGGAUAACUUCGGGAAACCGGAGCUAAUACCGGAUAAUAUUUCUAACCACAAGGUUCGAUAGUGAAAGAUGGCUUUGCAAUCACCUAUAGAUAGACCUCGGUCGAAUUAGCUAGUUGGUAAGGAAACGCCCUACAAAGGCAAGGAUACGAAGCCGACGUGAAAGGGGGAUCGGCCACACUGGAACUGGGACACGCUCCAGACUCCAAGGGAAGGCGGCAGUGGGGAAUCUUCCGCAAUGGGCGAAGUCUUGACGGGGCAACGCCGCGUGGUGAAUGAGGUUCUUCGGAUCUAAAAACCCUGUGAUUGGGGAAGAAGAAACGUGUAAGUAACUGUGCACGACUUGACGGUACCUAAUCAGAAAGCGACGGCUAACUACGUG
rnacentral:rRNA from 1 species